GGGCAGCACCCCAGGCCUAUGAGCACCAAAGAUUGGUUGGUUGGUUAAUUGAAAUGCCUUCUGGAUACUUGCAUUUAUAUGGUACCAUUAGGCUUCUCAGCUCCACCAGAUGGCCUCCCCCAAGUCCCCCACAUGGCAUACUGUGCUCUGGAAA
rnacentral:sRNA from 1 species